UUGCUGGUGCACUGGUUAGUGCUGCUACUUUUCAAAUAGGAGAUCUCUGGUUUGAGUCCAGGCCAGUACA